UACGGAGGGGGCUAGCGUUGUUCGGAAUUACUGGGCGUAAAGCGCACGUAGGCGGCUUUGUAAGUUAGAGGUGAAAGCCCGGGGCUCAACUCCGGAAUUGCCUUUAAGACUGCAUCGCUAGAAUUGUGGAGAGGUAAGUGGAAUUCCGAGUUGUAGAGGUGAAAUUCGUAGAUAUUGGAAGAACACCAGUGGCGAAGGCGGACUUACUGG
rnacentral:rRNA from 1 species